AACGAACGCUGGCGGCAGGCCUAACACAUGCAAGUCGAGCGAACCUAGCUUGCUAGGUGAGCGGCGAACGGGUGAGUAACACGUAGGAAUCUGCCCGAUAGUGGGGGACAACGUCUCGAAAGGGACGCUAAUACCGCAUACGCCCUACGGGGGGAAAGCAGGGGAUCUUCGGACCUUGCGCUAUCGGAUGAGCCUGCGUCGGAUUAGCUAGUUGGUGGGGUAAAGGCCUACCAAGGCGACGAUCCGUAGCUGGUCUGAGAGGAUGAUCAGCCACACCGGAACUGAGACACGGUCCGGACUCCUACGGGAGGCAGCAGUGGGGAAUAUUGGACAAUGGGGGCAACCCUGAUCCAGCCAUGCCGCGUGUGUGAAGAAGGCCUUCGGGUUGUAAAGCACUUUAGGCUGGGAGGAAGGUUCGCUGGCUAAUAUCCAGCGGAAUUGACGUUACCAGCAGAAUAAGCACCGGCUAACUCCGUGCCAGCCGCCGCCGUAA
rnacentral:rRNA from 1 species